GAUGAAGAACGCAGCGAAAUGCGAUACGUAGUGUGAAUUGCAGAAUUCAGUGAAUCAUCGAAUCUUUGAACGCACAUUGCACCUCUCGGUAUUCCGGGAGGUAUGCCUGUUCGAGCGUCAUUUGUACCCUCAAGCUUUGCUUGGUGUUGGGCGUCUUGUCUCUAGCUUUGCUGGAGACUCGCCUUAAAGUAAUUGGCAGCCGGCCUACUGGUUUCGGAGCGCAGCACAAGUCGCACUCUCUAUCAGCAAAGGUCUAGCAUCCAUUAAGCCUUUUUUUCAACUUUUGACCUCGGAUCAGGUAGGGAUACCCGCUGAACUUAAGCAUAUCAAUAAGCGGAGGA
rnacentral:misc_RNA from 1 species